GCAAAUUCUUUGAUGGAGACAGUUGCUCUGAUCAAUUGCUUGUAGAGAGUCGGUGGCUGGUGAAAACCGACAGCAAAAUCACAGUGAAAAUCACUCCUGAGAAGUGUACCCGAAUUACAGUAAGGUGCACCGGUUAAUCUCGUUAUUGAUUUAGGUUUGUUGGAACUGAAACGAGUGGCUCUUCGGAGCAAUUAGAGUGGUACCGCGGGAUAUCCCGUCUCUGUU
rnacentral:ncRNA from 1 species